CAAACUGGAGAUGGCGACCGGCGCACGGGUGAGUAACACGUAUCCAACCUACCGAUAACUCGGGGAUAGCCUUUCGAAAGAAAGAUUAAUACCCGAUGGCAUAAUAGAACCGCAUGGUUUGAUUAUUAAAGAAUUUCGGUUAUCGAUGGGGAUGCGUUCCAUUAGGCAGUUGGUGGGGUAACGGCCCACCAAACCUUCGAUGGAUAGGGGUUCUGAGAGGAAGGUCCCCCACAUUGGAACUGAGACACGGUCCAA
rnacentral:rRNA from 1 species